GGGUAACUGAUCAGACCCGCCAGCUGGCUAAUAUCAUAAUUAACAAAGUUGCCACUGCGUCUGCAAAGUUUAAUCGAAAAAUUUGCCAGGGAUAUGAUGGCAUUGUCACAGAGAUCACAAGGGACACGGAGCCGACUUCUGCUGAAGGUGGAGCGGCAGAGCUGUGCUGGCAAGAUGAGGAAUUACGAAGUUGUUCAGCCAAA
rfam:Otolemur garnettii contig016744, whole genome shotgun sequence.